UCCAGACUCCUACGGGAGGCAGCAGUGGGGGAUAUUGCACAAUGGGGGAAACCCUGAUGCAGCGACGCCGCGUGUGGGAAGACGGUCCUCUGGAUUGUAAACCACUGUCCCCAGGGACGAAAAUGACGGUACCUGGGGAGGAAGCUCCGGCUAACUACGUGCCAGCAGCCGCGGUAAUACGUAGGGAGCGAGCGUUGUCCGGAAUUACUGGGUGUAAAGGGAGCGUAGGCGGGGAUGCAAGUUGGGUGUCAAAACUACCGGCUCAACUGGUAGUCGCACUCAAAACUGCAGCUCUUGGGUGAAGUAGAGGCAGGCGGAAUUCCUAGUGUAGCGGUGAAAUGCGUAGAUAUCAGGAGGAACACCGGUGGCGAAGGCGGCCUGCUGGACUGCAACUGACGUUGAGGCCCGAAAGCGUGGGGAGCAAACAGGAUUAGAUACCCCGGUAA
rnacentral:rRNA from 1 species